UACGUAGGCAGCGAGCGUUGUUCGGAAUUACUGGGCGUAAAGAGUGUGUAGGCGGUGCUCCCAGUCUGUUGUGAAAUCUCCCGGCUUAACUGGGAGGGUGCAGCGGAAACUAGAGUGCUAGAGGGUGGGAGAGGUAAGCGGAAUUCCUGGUGUAGCGGUGAAAUGCGUAGAUAUCAGGAGGAACACCUGUGGUGUAGACAGCUUGCUGGACGACUUCUGACGCUGAGACAGGAAAGCGUGGGUAGCAAACAGG
rnacentral:rRNA from 1 species